rnacentral:rRNA from 1 species
GACGAACCGUGCGAACGUUAUUCGGAAUCACUGGGCUUAAAGCGCGUGUAGGCGGGAGGGCACGUCCGUCGCUGAAAUCCCCGGCUCAACCGGGGAACGGGCGCGGAUACGACCUUCCUGGAGGGGCGUAGGGGACCUGGAACUUCCGGUGGAGCGGUGAAAUGCGUUGAGAUCGGAAGGAACGCCCGUGGCGAAAGCGAGGUCCUGGACGCCUACUGACGCUGAGACGCGAAAGCCAGGGAGCGAACGGG